CGCACGGGUGAGUAACACGUAUCCAACCUGCCGAUAACUCGGGGAUAGCCUUUCGAAGAAAGAUUAAUACCGAUGGCAUAAUAGAACCGCAUGGUUUGAUUAUUAAAGAAUUUCGGUUAUCGAUGGGGAUGCGUUCCAUUAGGCAGUUGGUGGGGUAACGGCCCACCAAACCUUCGAUGGAUAGGGGUUCUGAGAGGAAGGUCCCCCACAUUGGAACUGAGACACGGUCCAAACUCCUACGGGAGGCAGCAUG
rnacentral:rRNA from 1 species